CACGUGAGCCUCAAGCGUUACCCGGAUUCACUGGGCGUAAAGGGUGUGCAGGUGGCUGUGUUAGUCGUUCGUGAAAUCCCGCAGCUCAACUGCGGGCGUGCGAGCGAAACGGCACAGCUAGAGGAUGCGAGGGGUCUGCGGAACUCAUGGUGUAGGGGUGAAAUCCGUUGAUAUCAUGGGGAACACCGAAAGCGAAGGCAGCAGACUGGCGCACUCCUGACACUGAGACACGAAAGCGUGGGUAGCGAACGGG
rnacentral:misc_RNA from 1 species